UAAUAAGUCAUGCAUUGGAGCUCCCACUGCAUUGGAGUAUGCUAAGGUUGGAGAGCAGAUGGUAUAUAGAUGUAUAUGAGAGAAAACAAGGCAUGAAUCCUCUUCUGCUAGAACUUGCUAAAUUGGAUUUCAACAGUGUGCAAGCAACACACCAAGACGAUCUAAAAUAUGCGUCAAGGUGGUGGAGGAAUACAGGUUUGGGGGAAAAGUUGAGCUUUGCCAGAGACAGGAUAGUGGAGAACUUCUUA
rnacentral:misc_RNA from 1 species